rnacentral:rRNA from 1 species
UGCAAGUCGAACGAACCUUCGGGUUAGUGGCGGACGGGUGAGUAACGCGUGGGAACCUGCCCUCAGGAGGGGGAUAACGGUUGGAAACGGCCGCUAAUACCCCAUAUGCCGAGAGGUGAAAUGAAUUUCGCCUGAGGAUGGGCCCGCGUCUGAUUAGCUAGUUGGUGGGGUAAGAGCCUACCAAGGCGACGAUCAGUAGCUGGUCUGAGAGGAUGAUCAGCCACACUGGGACUGAGACACGGCCCAGACUCCUACGGGAGGCAGCAGUGGGGAAUUUUCCGCAAUGGGCGAAAGCCUGACGGAGCAACGCCGCGUGAGGGAUGAAGGCCUCUGGGCUGUAAACCUCUUUUCUCAAGGAAGAAGACCUGACGGUACUUGAGGAAUAAGCCACGGCUAAUUCCGUGCCAGCAGCCGCGGUAAUACGGGAGUGGCAAGCGUUAUCCGGAAUUAUUGGGCGUAAAGCGUCCGCAGGUGGCCCUGUAAGUCUGUCGCUAAAGCGUGGAGCUUAACUCCAUUUAAGCGAUGGAAACUACAGGGCUAGAGUGUGGCAGGGGCAGAGGGAAUUCCCGGUGUAGCGGUGAAGUGCGUAGAUAUCGGGAAGAACACCAGUGGCGAAGGCGCUCUGCUGGGCCAUCACUGACACUCAUGGACGAAAGCCAGGGGAGCGAAAGGGAUUAGAUACCCCUGUAGUCCUGGCCGUAAACGAUGAACACUAGGUGUCGGGGGAAUCGACCCCCUCGGUGUCGUAGCCAACGCGUUAAGUGUUCCGCCUGGGGAGUACGCACGCAAGUGUGAAACUCAAAGGAAUUGACGGGGGCCCGCACAAGCGGUGGAGUAUGUGGUUUAAUUCGAUGCAACGCGAAGAACCUUACCAGGGUUUGACAUCCUGCGAAUCCCUUGGAAACGAGGGAGUGCCUUCGGGAGCGCAGAGACAGGUGGUGCAUGGCUGUCGUCAGCUCGUGUCGUGAGAUGUUGGGUUAAGUCCCGCAACGAGCGCAACCCACGUCGUUAGUUGCCAGCAUUCAGUUGGGCACUCUAGCGAGACCGCCGGUGAUAAACCGGAGGAAGGUGUGGAUGACGUCAAGUCAUCAUGCCCCUUACAUCCUGGGCUACACACGUACUACAAUGCUACGGACAAAGGGCAGCAAGCUCGCGAGAGUUAGCAAAUCCCAUAAACCGUGGCUCAGUUCAGAUCGUAGGCUGCAACUCGCCUACGUGAAGGAGGAAUCGCUAGUAAUCGCAGGUCAGCAUACUGCGGUGAAUACGUUCCCGGGCCUUGUACACACCGCCCGUCACACCAUGGAAGUUGGCCACGCCCGAAGUCGUAACUCCAACCC